rnacentral:misc_RNA from 1 species
GAUGAAGAACGUAGCGAAAUGCGAUACGUAAUGUGAAUUGCAGAAUUCAGUGAAUCAUCGAAUCUUUGAACGCACAUUGCGCCCGCUGGUAUUCCGGCGGGCAUGCCUGUUCGAGCGUCAUUUCAACCCUCAAACCCCCCGGGUUUGGUGUUGGGGAUCGGCUCUGCCUCACGGCGGUGCCGCCCCCGAAAUACAUUGGCGGUCUCGCUGCAGCCUCCAUUGCGUAGUAGCUAACACCUCGCAACUGGAACGCGGCGCGGCCAUGCCGUAAAACCCCAAUUUCUGAAUGUUGACCUCGGAUCAGGUAGGAAUACCCGCUGAACUUAAGCAUAUCAAUAAGCGGAGGA